rnacentral:rRNA from 1 species
GAGUGAAGAAGGUUUUCGGAUCGUAAAGCUCUGUUGUAAGUCAAGAACGAGUGUGAGAGUGGAAAGUUCACACUGUGACGGUAGCUUACCAGAAAGGGACGGCUAACUACGUGCCAGCAGCCGCGGUAAUACGUAGGUCCCGAGCGUUGUCCGGAUUUAUUGGGCGUAAAGCGAGCGCAGGCGGUUUGAUAAGUCUGAAGUUAAAGGCUGUGGCUCAACCAUAGUUCGCUUUGGAAACUGUCAAACUUGAGUGCAGAAGGGGAGAGUGGAAUUCCAUGUGUAGCGGUGAAAUGCGUAGAUAUAUGGAGGAACACCGGUGGCGAAAGCGGCUCUCUGGUCUGUAACUGACGCUGAGGCUCGAAAGCGUGGGGAGCGAACAGGAUUAGAUACCCUGGUAGUCCACGCCGUAAACGAUGAGUGCUAGGUGUUGGAUCCUUUCCGGGAUUCAGUGCCGCAGCUAACGCAUUAAGCACUCCGCCUGGGGAGUACGACCGCAAGGUUGAAACUCAAAGGAAUUGACGGGGGCCCGCACAAGCGGUGGAGCAUGUGGUUUAAUUCGAAGCAACGCGAAGAACCUUACCAGGUCUUGACAUCCCGAUGCUAUUUCUAGAGAUAGAAAGUUACUUCGGUACAUCGGUGACAGGUGGUGCAUGGUUGUUGUCAGCUCGUGUCGUGAGAUGUUGGGUUAAGUCC